CACAGCCUCGUCAGACUCGGUGCCCGCCUCUGCCAUGGUGGGGACCGGCCCAAGGGCUGCCAUGGUGGUGUCUCCGCUCCACAUCCCUGCCGUGGGACAUCGGGGGGAUCAAAAUAGGUUAUGGACACUC
rnacentral:snoRNA from 1 species